GACAGAGGGUGCAAACGUUGUUCGGAAUUACUGGGCGUAAAGCGCGUGUAGGCGGCAAGUCAAGUCGGGUGUGAAAGCCCUGGGCUCAACCCAGGAAGUGCAUUCGAUACUGGCAAGCUAGAGUCCCGGAGAGGAUGGUGGAACUCUCGGUGUAGAGGUGAAAUUCGUAGAUAUCGAGAAGAACACCGGUGGCGAAGGCGGCCAUCUGGACGGUGACUGACGCUGAGACGCGAAAGCGUGGGGAGCAAACAGG
rnacentral:rRNA from 1 species